ensembl:lncRNA
ACAUCCAUGCACAACACAGUCAGGACUGUGGGCACCCGCUCUGUUCUUCCUGCUGGGGCUGAAAAAGAGUGUCUGUGUUAAUGGAGAUCUGGCUGGUGCUUCUAGGUGAGCUGUUCAGACAUUGACCUGUGUGUAGUUAAACAAAUCAACCCGUCUGCAAGGAUUUGUGCGAGAAAACAAAUGACAGAGCAAACAGAGGACAGAACAGCUGUGGCAGCAGCAAGGACUGAGCCUCACCCUUUAAAGGUUUUUGAGUCUCAGUGAUUCCUAUUACAGAUGGAGUGGAAUUAGGAACCUUGAGUGUGUACUUCUGUCCUCACAGGGGAAUACCGGAGCAAAAAAACAUGCUGUUCUCACAGCUCAAUUACAAUGAGGAAAACACUGACUCUAAUGGCAAGUAAUUGUUGUCUUUGUUCUUUCUGCUCUUUUAUUUUUAAGAGGAUUUUACCUUACACGAAAGUUGCUCAUAGUGAGGGGAACCAGCUAAGGUUCUCAUUGGCAGCUGGGCCUCGUGCUGGGGCUGUGCAGGGGAGCAGUGCAGAGAACGGCAGCUCAGAAAUGAGAGUGAAUUCAUACAUGUCCAGGGGCUCCACACAGCAGCGUCACGGCAUGGCCAAGGCCACAGCUGCAGGCAGUGGUCUGUGCUGGGGACUUCUUCCUGGGCUGCCCAAGGAUUUGCCCCUUUGAAACAAUCCUGAAAGAAGUUUUGUGUACAGCUGCAUUAUAAACAGUUACACAUGGAAGAUGGAUCUGUACUGCAAACAUACGUGGCAGGUGGAUCAAGGACACCCAAAGGACACGCACGUGGAGGUGCUGCUGCAUGUAUGCAAGACUUACCAGAAGCAGAAGGUUACAACCGAGGUUAGAUGUACUUCAGCUCUCUAUGAAAAAGGAUCUAAAUAAUCUGGCAGCUUUUCACGUUUGUGAUAUUUUGGAUCAUCACACAGUUUUAAAGAAGCUAUCAGUCCGAAAGGGAAAUGUUCAACCCAACAGGAACUGCUGAAUCAGCUUGAGGUUAUGAUUCCAGCAAGUGGUGGUAGGCUAAAGAACAGACAAAGAUCAGAAGUGAAUUAUAGCUGUAUCACAGGACUAGGCGGGAUGAUGGGCUAAAGCAGCAUUCCUAAAAACAUGACAGCAAAAUCCUUAAACUAAGAGAGCAAAAGGAAGUUUGCAUGAAGUCAUACCACCGUGGCACCUUGGUUCUUCUGUUUCACCAAAUGUGUGUCAUUUGGCUGCACGUUUUUGCCUCAUUCCUUUGCUCACCUGGUAGAGGGGAAGGAAGAGACUUUCCAAAAUUUACUGCAAGGUGUUGAUGGUUACUUUAAGAUACAAGAGCAGAUUUUUAUGAGCACGACAUGCAAGCUCUCCUUCAUUGUACUGAGAAUUUGCUCUACCAAUUAGUGUUGUAGUGCUCUUUGUAUCCCCUCUGGAUGCAGGACGUUCUGGGGGGGCACCCUGUGGAAAUGUGAGGGGAGGAAAGCAUGGCAGGAAGCACAUGAGCCUUGUGUAGAAGCAACCGGCGUUGCUUCAAGCAAACAGGUAGCCCUAAGCUUACCACAUCCUGCCAUGAGAAAUGAGCACAGAGAGCGACUACCAAAGAAAAUAAAAACGCAAAACGUUGCC